AUUCCCCCCAAACUUCAUCCUCGAGCUCGCCUCAACGUCCUGAAGCUCCUAGAAGUGGCCUUGCACGGCGGCGCUACUCGUGGUGGCGGCUGGAAGCCAGACCCGAUCAAAUCGAAAACCGAAGCUUCGAGCAAUAUAUCUCGCGCUACAGGACGUUGUUUUGAGUGUUUCUUGAACUGGUGAACUCAGAGUGAGGAUCUGAACAACUUUCCAGAAGGUAUCGAGGCCUGAAGUUGCAGUUUUUACGUCGAACUAGGAGCUCGCCGGUUUCUGGGUUUUUCCGGCCAACCGACUGGUUUGAGGUGAUCGACGGUUUGAUUUGGCGGACGAUUCGUGAAAGUGUAUUUUGAGCUGUUAAGAAGACGCAGCGGGAAUUUAGAGCGGGUAAUCCUACAGGUCAGGAGAACCAGGACGGUGAUCGGGCUGCUUAGAGUAGUG